CUCUGUAAAUAUAUGGCCUUUGCUGUGUGAUGUAGCGACUGUGUGUUUUCUCUAAAGGUUAGUUUUAAUUCAUUAAAGUGUGAUCAUUUCUUCAGAUGUUAGUGAAGGCGGUCUUUAUCUCAGGAUGAGUCUGAGCUUGGAGCAGAUGUGGAAGUGGUUGACGUAGUCCAGCAGGAUCCGGAUCACGCUCCCAGACAGAUGCAUGAGGCAGCUGAGGCUCAUGAACUCACAGAACUGGAGAGAGGACGGACAUUCAGAAGCAUCAAAAGCGUUGUCAUGGUGACAGUGAAAGCAUCUCUCCACCUUGUAGCCAUUGUUGAGCAGCAGCCUCAUCAUCACCUCGUCCUUCAGGCAGUACUGCAG